GAACAUCGAUUAACAUAUAGCAUAUAUUAUGAAAAAUUAAAUCUAAAACCUAAUUUUGUAUUCUAAAGUGAUUGAUGAGCAAAAUGGGGAUGAGAGACAAAAUGCGGGAAGCGAAGAGGAUACUCUGCCAAGUGUAGAAGUGAUUGAUGAGCAAAAUGGGGAUGAGAGACAAAAUGCGGGAAGCGAAGAGGAUACCCUGCCAAGUGUAGAAGUGAUUGAUGAGCAAAAUGGGGAUGAGAGACAAAAUGCGGGAAGCGAAGAGGAUACCCUGCCAAGUGUAGAAGUGAUUGAUGAGCAAAAUGGGGAUGAGAGACAAAAUGCGGGAAGCGAAGAGGAUACUCUGCCAAGUGUAGAAGUGAUUGAUGAGCAAAAUGGGGAUGAGAGACAAAAUGCGGGAAGCGAAGAGGAUACUCUGCCAAGUGUAG